AUGCUUCUGCCCCAUUUAACGUUUGCCAGGCGAGAAGUACCCCAGGCGUCCACUGGGUUCUCCCUCUUCGAAUUGCUCUAUGGCAGGCCAUGUCGAGGGAUCCUCGACUUAGCCAAGGAGACCGGGGAGGCCCAACCAUGCCCGUUCUGGUUGAUGAUAGAACAUGUUACCCUGAUGCGGGACUGCCUGUCGGCAGUCUGGCCCAUAGUAAAGGAGCAAAUGGAGAAGACGCAGCGGAAUCCCAGGGAGUACACCAUGGGAGAGAAAGUGAUGGUACUCGUGCCCAUGGCCAAACAUUGUUUGCUGGUGCAGUGGAGGGGGCCCUACGAGGUAACAGAAAGGGUCUCAUCGGUCAACUACCUCAUCAAGCAACCAGAUAGGAGGAAGAAUGUCCAACUCUAUCAUAUCAACCUGCUGAAGAAGUACCAUGGGAAAGAGGAGGAUGUGUCUUUGAUGCCCGUGGAGGACAAGGAAAGAGAGGAGGCCCUGCUACAGGUGCGCUGUGGUCAAACUCUCCUGCCAGUGCAGUCGAGACAGCUGGACAAGCUGAUUAUGCACUUCGGCAGGGUAUUCUCACCCUUCCCAAAACAAACGGAUGUCCUGUUUCAUCAUAUCCACACUGAACCCAGGAAGAUGGUGCAUAUCCGGCCUUACAGGAUUCCUGAGGCCCAUCGAGUCAUCGCAAUGAACGAGUUAAGGGAGAUGCUGAGGAUGAGGGUGAUCGAGCCAUCUACGACUGUGUGGUCCAGUCCCAUAGUCCUGGUCCCCAAACCUGACGGUAGUAUGAGGCUCUGCUACGUCUUUAGGGGUGUAAACGCCAUCGCUACGUUCAACGCGUAUCCCAUUCCCUGCGUGGAUGAACUCCUGGAGCGCUUAGGAAAGGCCAAGUUCAUCACCACCCUUGAUUUGACGAAUGGAUAUAUGCAUGAGCCAGUGGCUCUGGAGGACCGCCCAAAAACUGCCUUCGCCACACCGGAGGGGAUUUUUCAGUAUGUGAGGAUGCCCUUCAGACUGCAUGGGGCUGUGGCAACUUUCCAACACCUCAUGGACACCAUUCUACGGCCCCAUCAAGAAUAA
rnacentral:lncRNA from 1 species